GUGCUCGCUUUGGCAGCACAGAUAUUAAAAUUGGAACUUUACAGAGAAGAUUAGCAUAGCCCCUGUGCAAGGAUGACAUGCAAAUUCGUGAAGUGUUCCAUAUUUAA